UUAAACCCGAAGAAUGUGAGGAAUAGCGUUCGUAAACCGUUUAGAGAGAAAGGUCAUAGCUGGGAGACCUUUUCGGUAUGGCGCUAAGGUCGUACAGGAGGGGCAGAGGGGAAUAAAGUACUCUCUGACGGGAAAGCCCGUUAGCGUAUAACAAGUGCUGAGAGACAAUGUUCCUCAGAAUAAAAGGUGGUACCACGGAAGCUUUUCGUCCUUUAU
rnacentral:ncRNA from 1 species